ensembl:lncRNA
GUAUUAAGUUGCGUUCAAGGUGGCAAAAUCCCACUACGCGUAUUAUCAGCACCGUGUUCUUAAAAUAUAUAGAAAAGUGCGUGGAAGUAUUAUGUUAUAAUUUUAGGGACAGAUAUAUUUUUUUACAUAGUAGGAGUUUCAUUUUGUAGGAGCUACAGUGUUUAGCCACUUCUAAUGUAAACACACUGGAACCUGACUGAGUUGCAUAAUCGCGACAGAUAUUGAAUGUAGCACAAUUGAGGCUGUUCGAAUCCCUCAGUGCCACCGCUAGUGGUAAGCGCACCGAAAACCCAAACAAACAUCGAUAGCCCUGCCAUUAGAGUUCUGUGGCUACGAAGAGGUGUAAUCCGGUCCAGUUUGUUCCAGUACAAUACCCGUGAGCAUCAGCAAGAAUAUUGCACUGCAAGGGGAGAAAGAACAUUUGGAUAUACCCACUUGGGGAAAUUUGGAUGUCUGAUGUUUUUUUUACCUUAUUUUUUUCCCUCUGAAGAAGUUGAUUGGUCUCUCUUGAAGAUUACUUUCGGACAAGCUUAAACUACUAUCACAAAGACAUUUGAUCUUGCAUAUCUAUGAAAUCAGAGCUACAUAUUAUUUCUGCUUCAGACUUUAAACCAUUACUAAUUAAAUGGGCAUCUUACAAAUGUCAUAGUAAAACAUAUGAAAAUAGAAACAGAACCAUAAUGUAUCAUUCCGCAGCAUUUAUAUUUCACUAACCCAAACUGAAAAUGACGGCAAUGUAACAUAGGGCUUUACUUCCUUCAUUGUCAUGUGACUUUGAACCUCUUGAGCAUCAUUUUCUUUAAACCAAGACAGUCUCCAGAAAUUUAAUGAGGUGAGCAGUGGUUUUUAGUGACCCUCCAUCGCCAAUAAAAGACUGUCUAUGAUUUUUUUUUUCUUUACUGCAUGCGUUUACCUAACUCUUAAAAUGAUUCGGUAGAAGGUCAACACAAAACGAUACUGGCACACGGUGUGGCAGGACAACACCUGUCUCUUUUCCCCCCCAUCUGGUGUCAACAGUGGAAUUGUGACACAAACUGCUGUCCAUGUUUCAGGGCAAACAACUUUCACAGACUAUUUCCAUAUAUUAAUAUUUGGACGGCCUGGCUCUUCGUCAUUGUUGGGACAAAUCACUGAUCAACUGUCAGAUCAGUUUAUUUUGCCAAUCAGCAUUAAGUCCGUGAGUCUCACCCAUGUCAAUAGGAGCAAAUGGUUCUAUUGAAUUAAAGGAUUCAGUUUGCUUGGACACAAGCU